rnacentral:rRNA from 1 species
CCUACGGGUGGCAGCAGUGGGGAAUAUUGCGCAAUGAGCGAACGCCUGACGCAGCGACGCCGCGUGAGGGAUGAAUGUCUUCGGAUCGUAAACCUCUGUCAGCAGGGAAGCACGGUCACUGUGCUAAUCAGCAGUGAAUUGACGGUACCUGCAAAGGAAGCACCGGCUAACUCCGUGCCAGCAGCCGCGGUAAUACGGAGGGUGAGAGCGUUAAUCGGAAUUACUUGGCGUAAAGCGCUCGUAGGCGGUAUGUCAAGUCAAUGGUGAAAUCCCCGGGCUAAACGUGGGAACUGCCUUUGAAACUGGAAAACUGGAGUGUGGGAGAGGAUAGUGGAAUUCCAGGUGUAGGAGUGAAAUCCGUAGAUAUCUGGAGGAACAUCAGUGGCGAAGGCGACUAUCUGGCACAUAACUGACGCUGAGGAGCGAAAGCGUGGGUAGCAAACAGGAUUAGAUACCCUUGUAGUC